rnacentral:rRNA from 1 species
UAGGGAAUCUUCCACAAUGGACGCAAGUCUGAUGGAGCAACGCCGCGUGAGUGAAGAAGGUUUUCGGACCGUAAAGCUCUGUUGUUGGUGAAGAAGGAUAGAGGUAGUAACUGGCCCUUUAUUUGACGGUAAUCAACCAGAAAGUCACGGCUAACUACGUGCCAGCAGCCGCGGUAAUCGUAGGUGGCGAGCGUUGUCCGGAUUUAUUGGGCGUAAAGCGAGCGCAGGCGGAAGAAUAAGUCUGAUGUGAAAGCCCUCGGCUUAACCGAGGAAUUGCAUCGGAAACUGUUUUCUUGAGUGCAGAAGAGGAGAGUAGAACUCCAUGUGUAGCGGUGGAAUGCGUAGAUAUAUGGAAGAAUACCAGUGGCGAAGGCGGCUCUCUGGUCUGCAACUGACGCUGAGGCUCGAAAGCAUGGGUAGCGAACAGGAUUAGAUACCCUGGUAGUCCAUGC